rnacentral:lncRNA from 12 species
AAAUUGAAAUGGAAAUAUUUUGUAACAGUACAUGUCUUUGCUGUCACUUAUGAUUUAUUUAAUGCAUCCUUGCUAAAAAAAAAAAAAAAAAAAAAAAAAAAAAAAAAAAAAAAAAAAAAAAAAAAAAAAAAAAAAAAAAAAAAAAAAAAAAAAAAAAAAAAAAAAAAAAAAAAAAAAAAAAAAAAAAAAAAAAAAAAAAAAAAAAAAAAAAAAAAAAAAAAAAAAAAAAAAAAAAAAAAAAAAAAAAAAAAAAAAAAAAAAAAAAAAAAAAAAAAAAAAAAAAAAAAAAAAAAAAAAAAAAAAAAAAAAAAAAAAAAAAAAAAAAAAAAAAAAAAAAAAAAAAAAAAAAAAAAAAAAAAAAAAAAAAAAAAAAAAAAAAAAAAAAAAAAAAAAAAAAAAAAAAAAAAAAAAAAAAAAAAAAAAAAAAAAAAAAAAAAAAAAAAAAAAAAAAAAAAAAAAAAAAAAAAAAAAAAAAAAAAAAAAAAAAAAAAAAAAAAAAAAAAAAAAAAAAAAAAAAAAAAAAAAAAAAAAAAAAAAAAAAAAAAAAAAAAAAAAAAAAAAAAAAAAAAAAAAAAAAAAAAAAAAAAAAAAAAAAAAAAAAAAAAAAAAAAAAAAAAAAAAAAAAAAAAAAAAAAAAAAAAAAAAAAAAAAAAAAAAAAAAAAAAAAAAAAAAAAAAAAAAAAAAAAAAAAAAAAAAAAAAAAAAAAAAAAAAAAAAAAAAAAAAAAAAAAAAAAAAAAAAAAAAAAAAAAAAAAAAAAAAAAAAAAAAAAAAAAAAAAAAAAAAAAAAAAAAAAAAAAAAAAAAAAAAAAAAAAAAAAAAAAAAAAAAAAAAAAAAAAAAAAAAAAAAAAAAAAAAAAAAAAAAAAAAAAAAAAAAAAAAAAAAAAAAAAAAAAAAAAAAAAAAAAAAAAAAAAAAAAAAAAAAAAAAAAAAAAAAAAAAAAAAAAAAAAAAAAAAAAAAAAAAAAAAAAAAAAAAAAAAAAAAAAAAAAAAAAAAAAAAAAAAAAAAAAAAAAAAAAAAAAAAAAAAAAAAAAAAAAAAAAAAAAAAAAAAAAAAAAAAAAAAAAAAAAAAAAAAAAAAAAAAAAAAAAAAAAAAAAAAAAAAAAAAAAAAAAAAAAAAAAAAAAAAAAAAAAAAAAAAAAAAAAAAAAAAAAAAAAAAAAAAAAAAAAAAAAAAAAAAAAAAAAAAAAAAAAAAAAAAAAAAAAAAAAAAAAAAAAAAAAAAAAAAAAAAAAAAAAAAAAAAAAAAAAAAAAAAAAAAAAAAAAAAAAAAAAAAAAAAAAAAAAAAAAAAAAAAAAAAAAAAAAAAAAAAAAAAAAAAAAAAAAAAAAAAAAAAAAAAAAAAAAAAAAAAAAAAAAAAAAAAAAAAAAAAAAAAAAAAAAAAAAAAAAAAAAAAAAAAAAAAAAAAAAAAAAAAAAAAAAAAAAAAAAAAAAAAAAAAAAAAAAAAAAAAAAAAAAAAAAAAAAAAAAAAAAAAAAAAAAAAAAAAAAAAAAAAAAAAAAAAAAAAAAAAAAAAAAAAAAAAAAAAAAAAAAAAAAAAAAAAAAAAAAAAAAAAAAAAAAAAAAAAAAAAAAAAAAAAAAAAAAAAAAAAAAAAAAAAAAAAAAAAAAAAAAAAAAAAAAAAAAAAAAAAAAAAAAAAAAAAAUAUAUAUAUAUAUAUAUAUAUAUAUAUAUAUAUAUAUAUAUAUAUAUAUAUAUAUAUAUAUAUAUAUAUAUAUAUAUAUAUAUAUAUAUAUAUAUAUAUAUAUAUAUAU